rnacentral:lncRNA from 1 species
UUGAGAGUAAGCACACAGAGAUUUUCUUUCCUGUUAAGAAGUUGCUACCUUCAGCUUAAUUUCUACAAAUCAAAUAGCUGUUUCACAGGAGCUAAUCUGGGAUUGAAAGAUGUUUUGACAAAGCAUGGAAAUAGCACUGAGAUAAAGAACUUUUACCAGAAUCUCCAUCUUACCAGACAAAGUCUUGGUGUAGAAUGAGGGAGGAAAAAAGGGA